rnacentral:rRNA from 1 species
UACGAAGGGGGCUAGCGUUGCUCGGAAUCACUGGGCGUAAAGGGUGCGUAGGCGGGUCUUUAAGUCAGGGGUGAAAUCCUGGAGCUCAACUCCAGAACUGCCUUUGAUACUGAGGAUCUUGAGUACGGGAGAGGUGAGUGGAACUGCGAGUGUAGAGGUGAAAUUCGUAGAUAUUCGCAAGAACACCAGUGGCGAAGGCGGCUCACUGGCCCGUAACUGACGCUGAGGUGCGAAAGCGUGGGGAGCAAACAGG